ensembl:rRNA 5S_rRNA 5S ribosomal RNA
GCUUACGGCCACACCGCCUGGUUCACGCCUGAUCUCGUUUGAUCUCGGAAGUUAAGAUAGGUUGGGCCUGGUUAGUGCUUGGAUGGGAGACCGCCUGGGAAUACCAGGUGCUGUAAGCU